CCCUAAGUUAAUCCCCUGAUAAUAUUUAUAUAGAGCAAGUAUAUCCCCCGCAGCCUUUUUUGCCAGGCUCAACAAGGCCAAGCUCUUUGAGUCUCCUUUCACAAGGU